UGUGUAGGCGGUGCUCUAAGUUCGGUGUGAAAUCUCCCGGCUUAACUGGGAGGGUGCGCCGGAAACUGGAGUGCUUGAGCGCGGGAGAGGAAAGCGGAAUUCCUGGUGUAGCGGUGAAAUGCGUAGAUAUCAGGAGGAACACCUGUGGUGUAGACGGCUUUCUGGACCGUAGCUGACGCUGAGACACGAAAGCGUGGGUAGCAAACAGGAUUAGAUACCCUGGUAGUCCACGCCCUAAACGAUGCAUACUUGGUGUGAGCCAUUCAGUUGGUUCGUGCCGGAGCUAACGCGUUAAGUAUGCCGCCUGGGGAGUACGGUCGCAAGGCUGAA
rnacentral:rRNA from 1 species